rnacentral:sRNA from 1 species
GCCAGGUGUGGUGGUGCACACCUGUAAUCCCAGCAGCUUGGGAGGCUGAGGCAGGAGGAUUGCAAGUUCAAAGCUAGCCUCAGCAAAGGUGAGGUGCUAAGCAAUUCAGUGAGACCCUGUCUCUA